UACAGAGGUGGCAAGCGUUGUUCGGAAUUACUGGGCGUAAAGGGCGCGUAGGCGGCCUCCUAAGUCAGACGUGAAAUCCCCCGGCUUAACCUGGGAACUGCGUCUGAUACUGGGAAGCUUGAGUAUGGGAGAGGAAGGUAGAAUUCCAGGUGUAGCGGUGAAAUGCGUAGAUAUCUGGAGGAACACCGGUGGCGAAGGCGGCCUUCUGGACCAUAACUGACGCUGAGCCGCGAAAGCUAGGGGAGCAAACGGG
rnacentral:rRNA from 1 species